ACAAAACAAAACAAAACGAAAAAAUCGAUGGCGAACCCCCCUUCCACCCCACUCCUCUUAUAUUCCUCCCACCCAACCCCGCCGUCGGCGACCUCCUCUUUCCCCACCACCGGUGCCCUCUCCCCUCCCCUCCCAGAUCGACUAGACCAGAUCCGGCCAGGCUCUCCAUCCCUCCUCGCGCCUGAAACACUAGAAGCCCCUAUUUUUCCUACCCAAACGCCGCCGCACUCCGUCGACUCCCCAAUCCCUGCCGGUGACCUCUACCCACGCUCUCCUCUGCCCCUCACUUUCCCUCCAAAGGGAAGGCCCCAUACCGGCCGGAUCCACCACGCCCACAGUGGGGCUUCCGGAUCCGACGCCCGCAACCAGAGGAGGAGUGCCUUACGGAUCCCAUCUGCUCUCUUCCACAAUUCCACCCAUGGAGGUGUUCUUCUUCAUCUCCAUACCUGAUUCGUGAGAUUUUUUUUGUGUGUGCAGGUUGCUCUGAUCCGAUCUGGUCAAGGGGGCCGUGGAGAAGCUGCUCCCAUCGGCCAGCCAAGGAGAAGCUGCUCAACAUCACCACCACCUGCUCCAAUUAAUCCGCCUGUAACGUAACCCGAGGAUAAUGAGAUGUUGAAGCGGCAGAGUGAAUCCAUGAGACUGUAGUGCAAUUGCACCGUUCCAUUAAAUAUUACUCAGGAAUAAGGACAUUUCAAUGGCAGAUUAGCUCUAUUUUUCCUUUUCAUUUUUCUUACUAUUGGAGUGAGGACAUGUAGAAUGAGAAACUGUGUGGUAGCAGAUAUGGCAACUGUGUGAUAGUAGAAUCAGGAAUAAGGAAUAUGGCAACUGUGUGAUAGUGACAUUUUUCCA